AGGAGAGAGGGCUGCUUUCCCACAGCUGCCUCUCUGGGGCCACUGCCCAAGGCCAGCCUCUGCACUUUUGUCCCUGAAGUGGAGCUUGGCUCCAAGAUGAGGUGGCGUCAGCAGCAGACCGGGGCCUCGAUCUGGCUGGGGGACGGUGGGCUGGCCCUGCAGAGCUUAGCCCUGGGCUGAGUCACAGCACAGCGGCCGGUGGGGGCCUCCCUGACAGAAAGCAAACUCCAAGCGAGAAGGUGUGGGGGGCAGGUGGGGACCAUCUGUGGUAAAGUCAGCCCUAGUUGGGCGACGAGAGGGUGCGGACCCCUGGCCCAGCAGACCGUCGGAGGGCAGAAAGACCUGGAAGCUUUGGAUUUAGGAACUAGACUGGUGCUUUCAGUUUCUUUUCUUGUUCAAGAGGCUGAGGAUGGGGCUUCAUGAAACCAGCCAGGAAGAAUGAAGCACAAAGCUGGUCCGACACCCAGCUCAAGGGAGGGGGCCUGGAAGCUUCUGGAAGUCCGCUGCCCCUAAGCAGGGGCCAUUCUAGCCUACGAGGCCAAGUUGGCGGAGGCAGGCGAGGGGACUUUGCAGCUCAAGUCACAGGCCAGGAGGGACUGGGCCUGGAGCCUGCAGCUGCCAGGCUGGAAAGGUCAGAGCUGGCUCUGCGUCUAGCUGUGCCGGCGAGAAGCCGCAAUUACGCAGGCUUGGGAGCCCGGGGAUUAGGCCUCGCAAAGGAAGACCCGGCAGUUUGGGAGCCCGGGACCCUGAAUGGUAAGAAGGCACCUGGCGGCGUUGGAAAACAUUCUGGGUUCAGAGUCUGGUCAGGGAGGAAAAACCAAACAGAUCAGCAGGAAGGGGAAGGGGCCUCCAAGGGCGUUCCCGUCCCAGCUUCCCAGGACACCUGACCCAAGCUCCUGGAUUUCAUCCAUGCCUCGUGACAGACACGACCCCUGGGAGGAAGGGGCCCAGGCCUCCUGAAGCAGAGCCCCAGAGGCCUCUAAGAGCCAGGCACAGUGGCUCCCACCUGUAGUCCCGGCACUUUGGAAGGCCGAGGCAGGCGGAUCACGAGGUCAGGAGUUUGAGACCAACCUGACCAACAUGGUGUAACCCCAUCUCUACUAAAAAUACAAAAAAAAAAAAAAAUUAGCCGAGUGUGGUGGCAUGCGCCUGUAAUCCCAGCUACUCAGGAGGCUGAGGCAGGAGAAUCGCUUGAACCCAGAGGAUUGUAGUGAGAUUGCGCCACUGCACUCUGGCCUGGGCAACAGAAUGAGACUCCAUCUCAAACAAAAAUUAGCCAGGCAUGUUGGUGCACACCUGUAAUCCCAGCUACUCUAGCUACUCAGGAGGCUGAGGCAAGAGAAUCGCUUGAACCCGGGAGGUGGAAGUUGCAGCGAGCCAAGCUGGCAGCAGUGAGACUGCAUCUCAGAAACAAAUGCUCUUAUCCAGCAGGCAGGUGGACCCCUGCAUCCCAAGGCCCCAGGCCUGAGCCCCCAACUGCGGCCCCUGCCUGUGUUGAGGGGGUGGGUUUGUGAGGCUCAGGGGAGGCCGCAGCUCGGACCCCACAUGCCCCAUAUCUAACCCUCAAUAAAGUGCCGCUGUGUCACCACAGCAGAGAGCAGGUGACAGCAGAUAUCGAUCCCAGUCCCCCCACCCACCCACAAGGGGAGCAUCCCAGGCCCCAGGCUGGGAAAUUGUAAAUGCAUAAUCUGUCCGAUGGCAAAUAACUCAGACUGGAGAAGCCCUGGCGGCUGCCGAGUGCCUCUGGGCUUCCCUGUGGCUCCUUCCCUCUCUGCAGAUGCUACCAGGAACUUUUCCCCAAAGUGCUGACUCAGCAUCUCAGGGCACCCCUGACAAGCCCAGCCUGGCUCAGAAAGGGGGCAGCAGCCUCGUGACUCUUCCACGGGCAUUUCUGUCCCCAGUCUUCUCUGCGUGAACGCUAGUGUGGACAGACGGGGACAGAUGAUGGAGCCCAGGCCACCCGGGAGGGGGUGAUGGGGACCACACCUGGCCCCUGCCCGGCACUUCCCACCCCCAGCAUUAGUAUCUCCACAGAGGGGAAGGGGUUACAGGACAACCUGGCACGGGGGUCACCAGGGACCCUCAGGAGCCCCCACUAUCCAGAUGCCGGUACUGAUGUCCUUCAGUGCCCCACUGUGACGCUGACGCCUGGUGAGAACCUUCAAAAGGAAGCUUCCCUUACUGGGCUGGCCGUUUCCUGAGAGCCCAGCCAUGGAAAGAGGGCGGGAGACCCGCUAGGUGCGCCCAGAGGCUCAAAAGGAAUGUCAGAUGCGCAGUGUGUAGUUUUGUUUAUUUUUAUUUUUGUAACACGAGAGAGGAAGCGAAGGGCCAGGGCCCGGGACGUGCGUCCCCUGCACGGUCUCUAAAGCAUUCGUCCGUCCCCAGGUUUGUUUUGAAAGGCAAUUUUGGGGCCGCGCUCAAGGAAACUCUCCAGGCUGUCAAUCCCAGUGACGACCGCUUAAAAUAAAAAUCUCCCGUCUGUUCGCUGCUCCGAGAGGCUCCGAGUGGCUCCGAGAAACUCAAAACAAACCCCUCUGGAAAAUGCCGCCCUGAGAACCAGAGCGAGGUUGAAAGAUACUUUCAACAAAGAAUCUUCCAGAAUCCAGCCAGCUCUGGAUGGCCGCUUCACAAAACCAAACACCAAACAUUUCCAACCAGAGAACUGUCGGCUGUAGCAAGAAAAAGGGGCUUCACCAAAUAGGGAGAGUCACAAACUUGAGGGGGAUUCUGCCUGAGGCCCGCCUCUUCCUUUCUGAGCAGAUCCAUCCAUCUGUGGAGUGGAACCAUGGUCCUGGAGGGUGGGCGCUCACUGUUUGCCCGCCUGUCUGCCCGGCUUCUUCUCUGGCUGGCCUCUGCCUGUGCCUGGGAUCCCGCCUCGGCCCCGGCCACCAAACACACCUGUGGGACAGAGAGAGGGGGCUGCAGCUGAGCCAGGUGGGUGGGACCUUCGACGGGAUCCCAACACUAGGAAACGCUAGGCCAGGUCACCUAAGUCUCCAGCCUCAGCUUCCUCCUGUGUGACAUGGGGGCUGAGGGUGU